CCUACGGGAGGCAGCAGUGAGGAAUAUUGGUCAAUGGACGAGAGUCUGAACCAGCCAAGUAGCGUGAAGGAUGACUGCCCCAUGGGUUGUAAACUUCUUUUAUAUGGGAAUAAAACAGGGUAUGCAUACCCUCUUGUAUGUACCAGAUGAAUAAGGAUCGGCUAACUCCGUGCCAGCAGCCGCGGUAAUACGGAGGAUCCGAGCGUUAUCCGGAUUUAUUGGGUUUAAAGGGAGCGUAGGUGGAUUGUUAAGUCAGUUGUGAAAGUUUGCGGCUCAACCGUAAAAUUGCAGUUGAAACUGGCAGUCUUGAGUAGAGUAGAGGUGGGCGGAAUUCGUGGUGUAGCGGUGAAAUGCUUAGAUAUGACGAAGAACUCCGAUUGCGAAGGCAGCUCACUGGAGUGCAACUGACACUGAUGCUCGAAAGUGUGGGUAUCGAACAGGAUUAGAUACCCGAGUAGUC
rnacentral:rRNA from 1 species